ACAGUCUAAAUCUGUUAGACUUACUGCACCACUAUCUACUUCAAUACUACUUCAUUCUACUACCAUAUUCUUUUAAAAAUAUCAUGAAGUUUCUCAUCUUCAUUUUGGCUUUGCCUGCAAUUAUCGCUUCAUCUUAUGUUCUGUCGGAAAAUACUUGGUGGACUUUCAAUUCUGAAGGCUACUUCGCAGAGUUAUACCCAUGUGUCUUACAGAGUAUAAAAUCUGGUCCUGGAUUAGGUGUGGAUAGUGUCGUUUAUAGUAUGCCAAUACAGGAUAAUGAAACCACCCUGUCGCUGUACAUGAGUCAAGUGCUGCAACUCGAAAACAUCACAUAUUCUUCCCCGGAGGAUUAUGUUUACAUUUAUUUUCCUGCUGCAACUACGGUAUACACUUUAGGUAAAACUGUGAUUGAAUACAGAGUCUUGAUUUCUAAGAACGAUUCUAAUCUUAUCCCUUCGGCAUAUGCUACACUGGAAUUGUCGGAUGUAAAAGAUAAUAUCCUUCUUGUAACAUUUAAUAAGACAGAAGGCUAUUAUGCUGAAAUAAUGAAGACUAAAAUCUCGGGCAUGGGGCAGCUAGUUAACAUCAAAUUGGAUGGAAAUCCUGUGGAACACCUGGAAAUCUACAUCAGGGAGCUUUAUGGGGCAUACUUCUCUGAUAUAUCUACUGAAGCAGCGGCAGGACUUGAAUUCUAUAUGGACCAAUGUGUUAAGCAAAUGAACAUUUCCAAAUACAUUAUGGAAAACCAAUAAAACUAAUGAUAUUAAAUGUGCUGACAUUGGAAGGAAGAAAAAUUGUGAAUAUAAGGUUAAGACAGUCCAUUUAAGUAAAAUAUUUUAAAACAUAAUUUUGGACUAUAAAUGUGAAACUUUUCCAACAUAUUACACGUAACUAGUACAAAUAUAUAUGUAUAAUUAUUUUUAUGUAACAAGAGAAUUAAUUUUAAUAAAUUAUACAUCCUGGAAAAUACAA